CACGUAGGGCGCAAGCGUUGUCCGGAAUUAUUGGGCGUAAAGAGCUCGUAGGCGGUCUGUUACGUCUGCUGUGAAAACCCGGGGCUUAACCCUGGGCUUGCAGUGGAUACGGGCAGACUAGAGGCAGGUAGGGGAGAAUGGAAUUCCCGGUGUAGCGGUGAAAUGCGCAGAUAUCGGGAGGAACACCGGUGGCGAAGGCGGUUCUCUGGGCCUGACCUGGCGCUGAGGAGCGAAAGCGUGGGGAGCGAACAGG
rnacentral:rRNA from 1 species